CCUGCUAGCCAUUAUUCUGCACUAGUUAAGGCUGCUAAAUAAUGUCCAGGGAGAAUCCUGAAGAUAAUUAUUCACUCUCAAAAAGAAGCCAUUCUUGCCUCUCUGCACUCUACUUUCGUGAACCUGCUCUAUGUUGGCAAUCCAAAUUCUAGUCCCACCACUUGUAUCGUGCAGCUAUGACCUUAGACUGGAUUUUGUGCCACUGUCAGGACUUCUAAUACAGAGAAGAUUU